UGAAAUCCCCGGGCUUAACCUGGGAAUUGCGUUUGAAACUGCAGAACUAGAGUGCGGCAGAGGGAGGUGGAAUUCCAUGUGUAGCAGUGAAAUGCGUAGAGAUAUGGAAGAACAUCGAUGGCGAAGGCAACCUCCUGGGCUAGCACUGACGCUCAUGCACGAAAGCGUGGGGAGCAAACAGGAUUAGAUACCCUGGUAGUCCACGCCCUAAACUAUGUCAACUAGUUGUCGGGUCUUAUUGGGCUUGGUAACGUAGCUAACGCGUGAAGUUGACCGCCUGGGGAGUACGGUCGCAAGAUUAAAACUCAAAUAAAUUGACGG
rnacentral:rRNA from 1 species